GAUGACCUGUGGCUGGGGGUGAAAGGCCAAUCAAACCGGGAGAUAGCUGGUUCUCCCCGAAAGCUAUUUAGGUAGCGCCUCGUGAAUUCAUCUCCGGGGGUAGAGCACUGUUUCGGCUAGGGGGCCAUCCCGGCUUACCAACCCGAUGCAAACUGCGAAUACCGGAGAAUGUUAUCACGGGAGACACACGGCGGGUGCUAACGUCCGUCGUGAAGAGGGAAACAACCCAGACCGCCAGCUAAGGUCCCAAAGUCAUGGUUAAGUGGGAAACGAUGUGGGAAGGCACAGACAGCCAGGAUGUUGGCUUAGAAGCAGCCAUCAUUUAAAGAAAGCGUAAUAGCUCACUGGUCGAGUCGGCCUGCGCGGAAGAUGUAACGGGGCUAAACCAUGCACCGAAGCUGCGGCAGCGACACUCAGGUGUUGUUGGGUAGGGGAGCGUUCUGUAAGCCUGCGAAGGUGGCCUGUGAGGGUUGCUGGAGGUAUCAGAAGUGCGAAUGCUGACAUAAGUAACGAUAAAGCGGGUGAAAAGCCCGCUCGCCGGAAGACCAAGGGUUCCUGUCCAACGUUAAUCGGGGCAGGGUGAGUCGACCCCUAAGGCGAGGCCGAAAGGCGUAGUCGAUGGGAAACGGGUUAAUAUUCCCGUACUUGGUGUUACUGCGAAGGGGGGACGGAGAAGGCUAUGUUGGCCGGGCGACGGUUGUCCCGGUUUAAGCGUGUAGGUGUGUGUUCCAGGUAAAUCCGGAAAAUCAAGGCUGAGGCGUGACGACGAGGCACUACGGUGCUGAAGCAACAAAUGCCCUGCUUCCAGGAAAAGCCUCUAAGCAUCAGGUAACAUCAAAUCGUACCCCAAACCGACACAGGUGGUCAGGUAGAGAAUACCAAGGCGCUUGAGAGAACUCGGGUGAAGGAACUAGGCAAAAUGGUGCCGUAACUUCGGGAGAAGGCACGCUGACACGUAGGUGAAGUGAUUUACUCAUGGAGCUGAAGUCAGUCGAAGAUACCAGCUGGCUGCAACUGUUUAUUAAAAACACAGCACUGUGCAAACACGAAAGUGGACGUAUACGGUGUGACGCCUGCCCGGUGCCGGAAGGUUAAUUGAUGGGGUCAGCGCAAGCGAAGCUCCUGAUCGAAGCCCCGGUAAACGGCGGCCGUAACUAUAACGGUCCUAAGGUAGCGAAAUUCCUUGUCGGGUAAGUUCCGACCUGCACGAAUGGCGUAAUGAUGGCCAGGCUGUCUCCACCCGAGACUCAGUGAAAUUGAACUCGCUGUGAAGAUGCAGUGUACCCGCGGCAAGACGGAAAGACCCCGUGAACCUUUACUAUAGCUUGACACUGAACAUUGAGCCUUGAUGUGUAGGAUAGGUGGGAGGCUUUGAAGUGUGGACGCCAGUCUGCAUGGAGCCGACCUUGAAAUACCACCCUUUAAUGUUUGAUGUUCUAACGUGGACCCGUUACCCGGGUUGCGGACAGUGUCUGGUGGGUAGUUUGACUGGGGCGGUCUCCUCCUAAAGAGUAACGGAGGAGCACGAAGGUUGGCUAAUCCUGGUCGGACAUCAGGAGGUUAGUGCAAUGGCAUAAGCCAGCUUGACUGCGAGCGUGACGGCGCGAGCAGGUGCGAAAGCAGGUCAUAGUGAUCCGGUGGUUCUGAAUGGAAGGGCCAUCGCUCAACGGAUAAAAGGUACUCCGGGGAUAACAGGCUGAUACCGCCCAAGAGUUCAUAUCGACGGCGGUGUUUGGCACCUCGAUGUCGGCUCAUCACAUCCUGGGGCUGAAGUAGGUCCCAAGGGUAUGGCUGUUCGCCAUUUAAAGUGGUACGCGAGCUGGGUUUAGAACGUCGUGAGACAGUUCGGUCCCUAUCUGCCGUGGGCGCUGGAGAACUGAGGGGGGCUGCUCCUAGUACGAGAGGACCGGAGUGGACGCAUCACUGGUGUUCGGGUUGUCAUGCCAAUGGCACUGCCCGGUAGCUAAAUGCGGAAGAGAUAAGUGCUGAAAGCAUCUAAGCACGAAACUUGCCCCGAGAUGAGUUCUCCCUGAGACUUAGAGUCUCCUGAAGGAACGUUGAAGACGACGACGUUGAUAGGCCGGGUGUGUAAGCGCAGCGAUGCGUUGAGCUAACCGGUACUAAUGAACCGUGAGGCUUAACCUUACAACGCCGAAG
rnacentral:rRNA from 1 species